rnacentral:rRNA from 1 species
UACGGGGGGAGCAAGCGUUGUUCGGAUUUACUGGGCGUAAAGGGCGCGUAGGCGGCGCAACAAGUCACUUGUGAAAUCUCCGGGCUUAACCCGGAGCGGUCAAGUGAUACUGUCGUGCUAGAGUGCGGAAGGGGCUACUGGAAUUCUCGGUGUAGCGGUGAAAUGCGUAGAUAUCGAAGAGGAACACCUGCGGCGAAGGCGGGUAGCUGGGCCGACACUGACCGGCUGGAUGCGCGAAAGCCAGGGGAGCGAACGGG